UACGUAGGGUGCAAGCGUUGUCCGGAAUUAUUGGGCGUAAAGAGCUCGUAGGCGGUUUGUCGCGUCGAAUGUGAAAACCCGGGGCUCAACUCCGGGCCUGCAUUCGAUACGGGCAGACUAGAGUUCGGUAGGGGAGACUGGAAUUCCUGGUGUAGCGGUGAAAUGCGCAGAUAUCGGGAGGAACACCGGUGGCGAAGGCAGCUCGCUGGGACGGUACUGACGCUGAGACGCGAAAGCGUGGGGAGCAAACAGG
rnacentral:rRNA from 1 species